rnacentral:rRNA from 1 species
CUAAAAUGGGCGGUACAAGGGUUGCGACCCGCGAGGGUGACUAAUCUCUUAAAGCCCCUCUCAGUUCGGAUUGCAGGCUGCAACUCGCCUGCAUGAAGUCGGAAUCGCUAGUAAUCGCGGAUCAGCACGCCGCGGUGAAUACGUUCCCGGGCCUUGUACACACCGCCCGUCACACCACGAGAGUUUGUAACACCCGAAGUCGGUGAGGUAACCCUUAGGAGGGCCCCCCCCUAAGGGGGGAAAAAUGAUUGGGGGGAAACCCAAAAAAGGGAAC